UACGUAGGGGGCAAGCGUUAUCCGGAAUCAUUGGGCGUAAAGGGUGCGUAGGCGGCCCUAUGGGUCAGAGGUUAAAGGCUACGGCUCAACCGUAGUAAGCCUUUGAAACUGUAGGGCUUGAGUGCAGGAGAGGAGAGUGGAAUUCCUAGUGUAGCGGUGAAAUGCGUAGAUAUUAGGAGGAACACCAGUGGCGAAGGCGACUCUCUGGACUGCAACUGACGCUGAGGCACGAAAGCGUGGGGAGCGAACAGG
rnacentral:rRNA from 1 species